GCUGGACAUGGUGGCGUGCACCUGUAGUCUCAUCUACUUGGGCGGCUGAGAUGGUGAUGGACUGUAGUGCCCUAUGCCAAUUGGGUGUCUGCACUAAGUUCAGUAUCAAUAUGGUGACCUCCCAGGAGUGGAGGGGCCACCAGGUGGCCUAAGGUGUGGUGAGCUGGCCCAGUUUGGCAACAGAGCAGGUUAAAACUCCUGUGCUGAUCAGUACUGGGAUCGCACCUGUGAAUGGUCACUGUACUCCAGCCUGGGCAACACAGU
rfam:Otolemur garnettii contig079900, whole genome shotgun sequence.